rnacentral:rRNA from 1 species
GAAGCCUGAUCCAGCCAUGCCGCGUGGGUGAUGAAGGCCUUCGGGUUGUAAAGCCCUUUUGUUGGGGAAGAAAGCCUUCGGCCUAAUACCCGGGGGGGUUGACGGUCCCCGAAGAAUAAGCCCCGGCUAACUUCGUGCCAGCAGCCGCGGUAAUAA